rnacentral:rRNA from 1 species
UACGAAGGGGGCUAGCGUUGCUCGGAAUGACUGGGCGUAAAGGGCGCGUAGGCGGAUGGCACAGUCAGAUGUGAAAUUCCCGGGCUUAACCUGGGGGCUGCAUUUGAUACGUGUUGUCUUGAGUUCGGAAGAGGGUCGUGGAAUUCCCAGUGUAGAGGUGAAAUUCGUAGAUAUUGGGAAGAACACCGGUGGCGAAGGCGGCGACCUGGUCCGACACUGACGCUGAGGCGCGAAAGCGUGGGGAGCAAACAGGAUUCAGAUACCC